rnacentral:rRNA from 1 species
GACGAACGCUGGCGGCGUGCUUAACACAUGCACGUCGAGCGGAGCGGCGAACGGGUGAGUAACGCGUGAGUAACUGCCCCCCUCUCUGGGAUAACAGUUGGAAACGGCUGCUAAUACCGGAUAAAGGGGGAUGGCUCGGGGCCUAUCAGCUUUUUGGUGGGGUGAUGGCCUACCAAGGCGGAGACGGGUAGCCGGCCUGAGAGGGUGACCGGCCACAUUGGGCUGAGAUACGGCCCAGAGUCCUACGGGAGGCAGCAGUGGGGGAUAGUGCACAAUGGGCGAAAGCCUGAGGAAGCGACGCCGCGGGGGGGAUGAAGGCUUGCGGGUUGUAAACCUAGUUCGCUAUCGAACGAGGAGGUGGAGAAGAAGCGCCGGCUAACUACGUGCCAGCAGCCGCGGUAAGAC